GAAAGUCCUCAUUUAAGGGACGUU
rnacentral:siRNA from 1 species